rnacentral:rRNA from 1 species
GAUGAACGCUGACAGAAUGCUUAACACAUGCAAGUCAACUGUGGCGGACGGGUGAGUAACGCGUAAAGAACUUGCCUCGCAGAUAGGGACAACAUUUGGAAACGAAUGCUAAUACCUGAUACUGUGAGAGAGCGUUGCGUCCCAUUAGCUAGUUGGAGACGUAACGGCGCACCAAGGCGAUGAUGGGUAGCCGGCCUGAGAGGGUGAUCGGCCACAAGGGGACUGGGACACCGGCCUUACGCAUACGGGAGGCAGCAGUGGGGAAUAGUGGACAAUGGACCAAAGUCUGAUCCAGCAAUUCGGUUUGCAAGAUGAAGUUUUCGGAAUGUAAAGUGAUUUCAGUUGGGAAGCGGUACCAACAGAAGAAGUGACGGCUAAAUACGUGCCAGCCGCCGCGGUAAUUC